CGUACCCUCAAGAACUGCACCUUCCAACCACCCUUAUAUGAGCCUGCUCCAAAACCUUGCCAGCCAGCACUUCCAGGUUACGACUAUUGACCUCCAGCUCCCAGUUUCAGAGAGUUCUCCCAGUCUCCUGGAUCACACUGGUCUGAAAGCUGUUUGGUAGACAACCUUCGAGUCUUUCUGCCUUCAUACUGAUAUAUUGUCCAUGAGAUCUUGUCCUGUGAAGUCUUUCCUGGCACAUAGUUACGCAUGCUGUUGCUGACUGUUGACACAUACCAUCGGCUAAGAGCAGUGGCUGGCUUUGAAACAGCUCCACCUUCCCUGAAUA
rnacentral:lncRNA from 1 species